GUGCAGUUGAAACUGUAUAUCUUGAGUACAGCAGAGGAGAGCGGAAUUCCUGGAGUAGCGGUGAAAUGCGUAGAUAUCAGGAAGAACACCAGUGGCGAAAGCGGUUCUCCAUGCUGUUACUGACGCUGAGGUACGAAAGCCGGGGUAGCGAACGGGAUUAGAUACCCCGGUAGUCCCGGCUGUAAACACUGGACACUAGGUGUUGGGGGUUAGAUCCCUUCAGUGCCGCAGUUAACGCAUUAAGUGUCCCGCCUGGGGAUUACGGUCGCAAGACUGAAACUCAAAGGAAUUGACGGGGGCCCGCACAAGCGGUGGAGCAUGUGGUUUAAUUCGAUGCAACGCGAAGAACCUUACCGAGGUUUGACAUCCCGUGCCAGCCUGUGAGAGCAGG
rnacentral:rRNA from 1 species